CAGGAAGCCCGCGGCGCGGGCGGCAACGUGACACUAAGCGCUCCGGCCGGGCCCCGCGGGGGCGGGGGCAUAAAAGAGGCCGGCCCGGGCCCAGAGGGAGGCAGAAACGACCCGCUGACCCACCGACCCACCCCGCAGAGAGCCCGCGCCCGGCCGCCCCUGGAUCCUCCCACUCCGCUGACCGGCGCUGGAGCCGCAGAACCUCUUCCGUGGGGGAUGACCAUGUUGGCGCUGGCGGCCGUGAGCGUGUCCGUCCUGCUGCUCCUGCCCCCGGCCUCCGGCUCUCCGCUGACCCUCGCCUGGGAAGCCUCGCCGGUCCCGGUUCCUGUCCCGGCCCCGUCCCGCCGUGGGUGGAGCGACUCCUCGAGUCCGGCGGGUGUCAGGGCGGGCUGGGGGCGGGAGAGGAGGCCCAACGCGCUGGACCUGUCCUUCCACCUGCUGCGGGAGCUCCUCCACCGGGCCCGGGAGGAGCAGCUGGCUCGAAAGGCGCACGGCAACCGCCGGAGGCUCCAGGCCCUGGGCUAGGACUCGCCAGGGACGCGCGCCGGGACGGGGUGGAAAGGGAUGGGAAGGGACGGGACGGCACGCACCCCAGGGAGCCAGGGAAAGGAGUCAGGAAGGGACGGGAUGGGAAGGGACGGGAUGGGAAGGGACGGGAAGCAGCCCAGGGAGCCAGGGAAGGGACGCAGCCCAGGGAGCCAGGGAAGGGACGGGACGGGACACAGCCCAGGGAGCCACGUAAGGGACGGGAAGGGAAGGGACGCAGCCCAGGGAGCCAGGGAAGGGAAGGGAUGGGAAGGGACGGGAUGGGACGCACCCCAGGGAGCCAGGGAAGGGACGGGACACGGCCCAGGGAGCCAGGAAGGGAAGGGAUGGGGGACAGCCCAGGGAGCCAGGUAAGGGACGGGAAGGGAAGGGACACAGCCCAGGGAGCCAGGUAAGGGACGGGAAGGGAAGGGACACAGCCCAGGGAGCCAGGGGAGGGA
rnacentral:lncRNA from 1 species